rnacentral:rRNA from 1 species
UACGUAGGGUGCGAGCGUUAAUCGGAAUUACUGGGCGUAAAGCGUGCGCAGGCGGUUUUGUAAGCCCGAUGUGAAAGCCCCGGGCUUAACCUGGGAAUGGCAUUUGGGACUGCAAGGCUGGAGUGUGGCAGAGGAGACUGGAAUUCCUGGUGUAGCAGUGAAAUGCGUAGAUAUCAGGAGGAAUACCGAUGGCGAAGGCAGGUCUCUGGGCUAACACUGACGCUCAUGCACGAAAGCGUGGGGAGCAAACAGG